CCACCUAUGGGGUCGAGGCAGGUGUGGUGCCUUGGCUGAGUCCACAGACUUCUGAGAGGCCCACGCUUUCUUCUUCUCCAGAAAUAAACCCUGAAACUCAAGCAGCUUUAAUCAGAGGGCAGGAUUCCACAAUAGCAGCAUCAGAACAGCAAGUGGCAGCGAGAAUUCUUGAUUCCAAUAAUCAGACAACAGUAAGCCCUGUGGAAUUUAAUACUGAGGUUGCAACACCACCAUUUUCCCUUCUGGAGACUUCUAAUGAAACAGAUUUCCUGAUUGGCAUUAAUGAAGAGUCAGUGGAAGGCACGGCAAUCUAUUUACCAGUUUAAAGGAGUACAUUUGGAACGUGUUUUUGGAAAAAGCAUGUUAAUGUAGCAGAAGAGACUUCAGUGCACACUUUCGAAGAAAAACAGUUUCUGAGCAUUAAGUGGACCUGAUCGCUGCAAAAUGAACCCGUGCCUUAACGGAGGCACCUGUUAUCCUACUGAAACUUCCUAUGUAUGCACCUGUGUGCCAGGAUACAGCGGAGACCAGUGUGAACUUGAUUUUGAUGAAUGUCACUCUAAUCCCUGUCGUAAUGGAGCCACUUGUGUUGAUGGUUUUAACACAUUCAGGUGCCUCUGCCUUCCAAGUUAUGUUGGUGCACUUUGUGAGCAAGAUACCGAGACAUGUGACUAUGGCUGGCACAAAUUCCAAGGGCAGUGCUACAAAUACUUUGCCCAUCGACGCACAUGGGAUGCAGCUGAACGGGAAUGCCGUCUGCAGGGCG
rnacentral:sRNA from 1 species